UUCCUAAAUCAACCGGUCGGCCCAACCAAAACCAAGACUCUCUCUCAGUCUCAAAUCUCAAUUCAUUAGUUCCACUUCUUCGUGAGAUUCAUACGCACAAACAGCAACGUUACUCCGCUAGGGUUCAUCAUUCUCUCAGUUCGUGGUUUCAUCGUUUAACGAAGAACCGUCGCCGUCCAUUAUUCAACCACAAAUCACCACCGAUAUUGAUUUUGUGAAGGUGUUGUCGGUAAAUAUUGUUCCUACUCAGCUCGCCGACAACUUCCGGAAUAAGAAGCCUGAGGUUUUACUCUUGAC